rnacentral:rRNA from 1 species
GACGAACGCUGGCGGCGUGCUUAACACAUGCAAGUCGAACGAUGAUCCGGUUUCGGCCGGUGAUUAGUGGCGAACGGGUGAGUAACACGUGGGUAAUCUGCCCCGCACUCUGGGAUAAGCCCGGGAAACUGGGUCUAAUACCGGAUAUACACUGGUGGCCUCAUGGUCUGCUGGUGGAAAGCUUUUGCGGUGUGGGAUGGGCCCGCGGCCUAUCAGCUUGUUGGUGGGGUAAUGGCCUACCAAGGCGACGACGGGUAGCCGGCCUGAGAGGGUGACCGGCCACACUGGGACUGAGACACGGCCCAGAAUCCUACGGGAGGCAGCAGUGGGGAAUAUUGCACAAUGGGCGGAAGCCUGAUGCAGCGACGCCGCGUGAGGGAUGACGGCCUUCGGGUUGUAAACCUCUUUCAGCAGGGAAGAAGCGUGAGUGACGGUACCUGCAGAAGAAGCACCGGCUAACUACGUGCCAGCCGCCGCGGUAACAC